rnacentral:rRNA from 1 species
AUUGAAUGCUGGCGGCAGGCCUAACACAUGCAAGUCGAACGAGUGGCGGACGGGUGAGUAAUGUCUGGGAAACUGCCCGAUGGAGGGGGAUAACUACUGGAAACGGUAGCUAAUAACGCAUACCAUCGGAUGUGCCCAUAUGGGAUUAGCUAGUAGGUGGGGUAACGGCUCACCUAGGCGACGAUCCCUAGCUGGUCUGAGAGGAUGACCUGCCACACUGGAACUGAGACACGGUCAUGACUCCUACGGGAGGCAGCAGUGGGGAAUAUUGCACAAUGGGUGCAAGCCUGAGUCAGCCAUGCCGCGUGUAUGAAGAAGGCCUUCGGGUUGUAAAGUACUUUCAGCGAGGAGGCGUUACUCGCAGAAGAAGCACCGGCUAACUCCGUGCCAGCAGCCGCGGUAAUAC